rnacentral:lncRNA from 1 species
CCAGACACCCUUUUGGGAGGUGGAGAUGCUGGGGAGGCCAACACACUCUGCUUGGAAAAAGGAGGCAUUUCCUUAGCAUCAUCUAUAAAACCUUCCCAAACUGGCCUGCCACUCCUCGUCUCCUCAAGUUCAAUACUCGUGGCACAAAUGGCAAGAGAGACUAUUUCCUCUAAGCCAUUCCCCAUUGUGUCCCCUAUUUUGUGGUUGUUAUUGUUGUCUCCCAUUCUUUACCAUAACCUAGUAGUUUGAUGUCUUAUCUAAAAUCUCUCCAUGGUAAUAUGGCCUUAUUCAUGUCCUGAGAAUCAUUUCAUCUCCCUUCAACAAACUUCCCCAUGGCUCUCUGAGAUUUGAAGCAACGUGAGCAGAUGCACCACCUAAACCCAAGAAAUGCUCUGGCCUCCAAAGCGAUUUCUGAGGAUUAGCCUCUAAAUUAAGAAAUACUUCUUCAUUAGAAACGAACAUUACAGCUGGAAGGAGUUCUCAAUUUGGACACAGUGGAAGAACCAAAGCUCAAGCAUCUGAUGAGUGACGGAGGAAGCACUUAUCUGAUUUCCCAUGAUUUCGAUCAAACCACAGCGGCUUCUUCUGUACCAGGAGCCAGUCAUCCCAUUAUGCUGCCCUGGCCAGAUCCCACAUGGAAUUCUGUGUGGAACCAGAGAUCAGAUCUACUUAAUACCAUUUUGGGGACUAGGACUCCCAGAUGUGCUCUACUGAAAUACCAGACCUCCAGCUACCACUGUGGGGUAUAUUCUGAGUUCUCCACGCUCUCUUUGGUACCAGAUGUGGCUGCUCCAGAUAAUGUUCAGAUGUUCCAUCUCUUUCUAUGGACUGGGGGAAGUAUGCUUUGAUUUCCUUCUACUACAAAACAGAGACUUUAAAUGGAACUGGUACAUAACAAGGUAGACUGUUCCACUGCAUCAUUAUAAUCUAAAGGUUGUUAAAAAUCCAUUCUUUUGGGUGAAGAAGAUAGUUGGUAGAAGGGCUUCAUGUUUCAAAAAGAAAUAUUACCUUCAUGACAAGCAAGAGAAAACCAGUUAUGGUCUUAAACCAAACAAAGAAAAUCAAGCUUCAGAAAACUUCAGUUAGUCCUACUGCAAAGUGACAUUUUAAAAUUGCUAAGAGGCCCUUGUUAAAGAAAGAGAGAAUUAAUAUAGAUGUGUCACAAUGAUGUGACAUAUAGGAACUGUGAAACCCAAGCCUGUGGAUAUUUUAAGGACAGCUCUGGGAAAUUAAAAAUCCAAGGUGGUACUUCCAUUUCUAGUAAUAUGAGGAGCAAAUAUCAUUUAAUACAAUACUAAGCAAGAAAAAGUCUUAAAAUGCAGAAUAAAUUGCACUUUAAAAAAGUAAAAAUAUAUAUU